rnacentral:rRNA from 1 species
GGGGGGGGGGGGGGGGGGGGUGGGGCGGGCGGGGCGGGCGGGGGGGGGGGGCUUGCUCCGGGCGUCAGCGGCGGACGGGGGGGGCGUGCCUAGGGAUCUGCCUGGUAGUGGGGGAUAGCGUCCGGCAACGGGCGCUAAUACCGCAUCCGUCCUGAGGGAGACAGUGGGGGAUCUUCGGCCCUCACGCUAUCCGCUGAGCCUAGGUCGGAUUAGCUAGUUGGUGGGGUAACGGCCUACCAAGGCGACGCUCCGUCCCUGGUCUGAGAGGAUGAUCAGUCACACUGGAACUGAGACACGGUCCAGACUCCUACGGGAGGCAGCAGUGGGGAAUAUUGGACAAUGGGCGAAAGCCUGAUCCAGCCAUGCCGAGUGUGUGAAGAAGGUCUUCGGAUUGUAAAGCACUUUAAGUUGGGAGGAAGGGCAGUAAGUUAAUACCUUGCUGUUUUGACGUUACCAACAGAAUAAGCACCGGCUAACUUCGUG